GAGGGGGGAGGGUAUAGGGUGCUUUGGGGAUAGCAUUUGAAAUGCAAAUGAAGAAAAUAUCUAAUUAAAAAAAAGAACUUUAGCUUUUCUUUAAACUUGAAAAAACAAAAUGCAAGUUUAUUUAAGAUAUGACUAAGAAACAAACAUGCAAAUACAGUAAAAAGAAGCUAUGCUGAGCUCUUAGCAUGCCAAGCACUGGGCUUUGUCUUUCCAUGUGUGACCUCAUUUAGUCUCAGAGCAGCUGUAUAAGGCCUGGUGCUGCUGUUGCUGUCUGCAUCUAAGUAACUUUCCCAAGAGAACUGGCAUGGCUGACAUGUAAAGCUGGACUCUGAGAUUGCAAGUCCCUGCUCUGUACCACUAUGGUUGAUUUAUAUAAAAAUGAGGGAAAGGAAGGGGCAAGACCUAUUUAUGGCUCAGUUAUUUGCAGUUACACACACACACACACACACACCCUCAUCAUCAUAAAUAUUUAAAAGGUUGUAUUUGGGGAGCAAUAAGUAAAGCUAUCGGCCCUUGUAGCCUCAUGCUCCCUUUUACUUUAGGAUUAUUGCUAUAUUAGGGCAGAUGUUACAGAAACACCCAGGAAAGUAGAACCGUGCCCACCACAGGUUCUCCCGUGCAUGAGGAGGAAAAGCAUGAGCAUUGUAACAGCUACGUAAUGUGCUGAAGGGGGAGCUGUGCAAAUGUGUGCCAUGCUCUUAAGAGUAACUUGUAUCCCUGUUUGUAAUUACCUAACUCAGUGUCUCAGUUUUUUCAGUUGUACUGUGGCAGUAAUCAUCAUAACCUGUAAAAGGCUGAGCACCUCCAGUCUGAAGUCUACAGUGUUCCCAAAUCUAAAAUAUGUCUGCUCCCAAGUGUAGCCUCCCCUCUCCCAGCCUUAAUGGUUCCACUGUUUACACCUGGAUGGAGCUUGCAGGCUCAAUCGUUCUGCCACGCUCACAGCUGGAACCUGCCGCUUUGCUGUUCGGAGCCAUACACGUGGUCACCCUGCUACUGGACUCCAAGAUUAUUUGGCGGGAAUCGGGCCCCUCCCCCUUCCUUCAUAACGGAGUGCCGGAAUAGUAAAAAUUGAACCUUGAGCAGAGAGCUUUGUUUUGGUUCCUUCCUUAUCUCGCACAGCCCAGCCCUUCUUCUCUUUCAGGUUUCCAAAAUGCCUUUCCAGGCUAGAACCCAGGCUGUGAUCUGCUGGCCGGACACAACAGCCAAGUCUCUUAGAUGAGGUAUCUCCAACCUGCACUCUCUCAGUCUGAUAUUGAGAGGAUUAAGUGGGUUCAUGCCUGCCAAGUGUACUUAACAGUGUCUGUGCUCUAAGAUCCAGAAUCGACAAAUGGGACCUCAUAAGAUUGCAAAGCUUCUGUAGGGCAAAGAUACUGUCAAUAAGACAAAAAGGCCAACAGAUUGGGAAAGGAUCUUUACCAAUCCUAAAUCAGAUAGGGGACUAAUAUCCAAUAUAUACAAAGAACUCAAGAAGAUGGACUCCAGAAUAUCAAAUAACCCUAUUAAAAAAUGGGGUACAGAGCUAAACAAAGAAUUCUCACCUGAGGAAUACCAAAUGGCUGAGAAGCACCUGAAAAAAUUUGUUAGCACUAUUCUGUAUUACUGUUAAUAACUAAUUUGUUUCAACAAGUUAUACUACUAAAAACAAGUCUGAAAGUCACACGCCUUUAAACCCAGCACCCAGAAGGCAGAGGCAGAAGGAUCUCUGAGUUCAAGGCUAGCCUGCUAAAUAGACUUGAGUUCUAAAACAGGCAAGGCCACACAGCAAAACCAUAUUUCAAAGAAUAAAAAGUCUGCUAGAAACAAAAAUAUAGAAACUAGUAUGUAUCUAAAAAUAAAAUGUCCUUAGAUUAAUAUUUAUAAAUAGACAUAAAAUAGUAUUAGUUUAUAGUUAAUAAAUAUGCUCACUUCCUAGUUGAUUUCUUGUUUCUGUUAAUGGUAUCUUUUCCUCAUUUGCUUUUGACUAUUAAACUUUUAACUCAAAUCUAUUCAGAUUAUACUUUCCAUUACAAAACCAUUAUUCCCUCCCUAAAAAAAUCCUUAUGUAUUCUGAAUUAAAUAUUAGGGUUAAUUUCUUUAUUACUAGUUAUAGUUAGAAUCACAGCAGGAUUUGAGGUGUAGAGUACAUUAUAAAUAAGAUUCACUGUGAGGCAAAUCCAUUUUAAACUCUUUUUCUUUUUGGUUCUGGAUUUUGGUUUUCAUUUUUUGAGACAGGGUUUCUCUGUGUAGCCCGGGUUGUUCUAGAACUCACUCUGUAGGCCAGGCUGGCCUCGAACUCACAGAGAUCUCUCUGUCCCUACCUCCUAGCUAUUGGGAUUAAAGGCAUGCACAUGCCACCACUGGUAUUUUUGAUAAUGUAGAUCUUCUUAGGUGACAUUACACCAAGUAUAUAAACUCUUGAGAAUCAAUUCAUAUUAUCUGGUAGUGUCUUUAAAAUACAUAGAACUUUAUAAAGUAGAUUGGGCUUUGUAUAUUUAAUUGACUUUGGUUUUCUUUAUUACUUC
rnacentral:lncRNA from 1 species